GCCAAUGGUGGAUCAGACUUUGGAGCAGGUGAUCCUUGGACGCCCACAGUACAUCACCUUCAUGAGCGCAUCAGUGAACACCAGUCUAAGGAAGACAUCUCUGAACGUAAUUUUGGAGAUUUUGAUGAGUUCCAUUGAAACAAGGAGGAAUGUGAUGUCCAGUAUCAGUUCUGCAGACCCAAGGACAAAGAAAAUUCUGUGAUAAACUCAUCCAGUGUGACUGUAAUGUGGGUAUCUAUUUGAUACCUCCAAGUAACUGUUUAUUCUUGUGCCAGUUGAGUAGAUGGUACGGGCCAGUUGGUGUUGAUUAGUGAACCACGGACAAAGGGCAUAUGUCACAUGAGUUGCUCCUGGAUAAAGUCACCCAGUCACUUCCUGAUGAAUAUCCUGCAUAAACUCCAAAGACAAAAGAGAGUUAAGGUUGUUUUUCUCACCUUAGACCAGGCAGUGAUAGAAGAACUGGGGGAAGAGAUAAUUGUAUUUAUCUUGGUGAGGGUGACAAAUCAUGGCAAAUGAGCAAAAUGAAAAAGGUUUGCAGAUUUCAACAAACUUCUAAAAGAUCAGCUUACAGUCAUGUAUACAUCUCUUCCUUUGUUUCUAGUUUAUUUGCAUCUCAUUACUAUGUUCUCGGUUUAGGAUACAAGACACCGGACUUUCAAAUCAACAAUUGUUUCAAAAGACUCCUACUGGAUUCCUGCUAGUGAUGGGAGAAAAUUAUCAUUCUGCUGGAGGGCAGUGGCUUGAGUAAGCUCACGGCAGCCUCAAACUCCUUGGCUCAAGGGAUCCUGCCUCAGUCUCUCAGGUAGCUGGGACUACAGGCACACAACACACUAUGCCUGGCUACAUUUUAAAUUCUAUUUUGGUAGAGAUGGGCGCUCACUAUGUUGACCGGGCUGGUCUUGAACUCCUGACCCCAAGUUAUCCUCCUGCCUUGGCCCCCCAAAGUGCUAGGAAUACAGGCACACG
rnacentral:lncRNA from 1 species